GACGAACGCUGGCGGCGUGCUUAACACAUGCAAGUCGAACGCUGAAGCUCAGCUUGCUGGGUGGAUGAGUGGCGAACGGGUGAGUAACACGUGAGUAACCUGCCCUCUUCUCUGGGAUAACGCCCGGAAACGGGUGCUAAUACUGGAUAUUCACUGAUUCUCGCAUGGGGGUUGGUGGAAAGGUUUUUUCUGGUGGGGGAUGGGCUCGCGGCCUAUCAGCUUGUUGGUGGGGUGAUGGCCUACCAAGGCUUUGACGGGUAGCCGGCCUGAGAGGGUGACCGGUCACAUUGGGACUGGGAUACGGCCCAGACUCCUACGGGAGGCAGCAGUGGGGAAUAUUGCACAAUGGGCGAAAGCCGGAUGCAGCGACGCGGCGUGAGGGAUGGAGGCCUUCGGGUUGUAAACCUCUUUCGCUCAUGGUCAAGCCGCAGCUUUGGGUUGUGGUGAGGGUAGUGGGUAAAGAAGCGCCGGCUAACUACGUG
rnacentral:rRNA from 1 species